ACAGUAUCUAGGGAAGGAGACAGAGAGCCCCUGGAAAAUGAACAGAGCCACAUACAAAGAUCUCUCCUUCAACAGAGAGUGUUAAAAUUAUGCCAGGAGGAUUGAGAUGGAUCAGCAGGGAAAGGCAUCUAUAGCCAAGCCAGAUGUCUUGAGUUCAAUCCUUAGGCCUGCAUUUGGAAAGAGAACCAUUCCCCACUAUUUCCCUUUGACUUCCAUACAAUAUGGGCAUGAAUAAAUGAGUGUAAAAAAAUUAAGGGAAUUAAGAAAGGAAACCAUCAAACUUCAGAACUCUCCAUAGAUGGAAUUAAGCUGUAUAAUAACCAGGAAGGCUUUCUACCUAUCCUGGCACCUACGCUUGUUCCUAGGAGCAAAGGCACUGAAACACAUUCUGUCCCACCCACGCUGCUCUGCUGUUGGUGGACAACUUGACCACCCAUGUCUCAAAUAUUUUGUCUUUCACAAAGAAUCCUUCCUUCUUGUGAAAUUCAAAUACAGCAAAUUCUAUUUUUUUUUUUUUUUGGUUUUUCGAGACAGGAUUUCUCUGUGUAGCCCUGGCUAUCCUGGCACUCACUUUGUAGACCAGGCUGGCCUCGAACUCAUCUUUUUUUUUUUUUUUUUUUUUUUUUUAAGAGUUAUUUAUUUAUUAUUAUAUGUAAGUACACUGUAGCUGUCUUCGGACACUCCAGAAGAGGGCACCAGAUUCCACUAGAGAUGGUUGUGAGCCACCAUGUGGUUGCUGAGAAUUGAACUCAGGACCUUCGGAAGAGCAGUCAGUACUCUUAACUGCUGAGCCAUCUCUCCAGCCCCAAAUACAGCAAAUUCUUAAGCAGAUUAAGGAAGAAAGUUACUUAACCAGCAACUCACUUUGGAGGAAUAUCUUGAGGGGAAGCAAAGCCAUGCCACAAGACGUUUCUCAGGUUGAGUCCGCAGGGAGACCCGAUGAAGACUUUUAGUAUGUCCAUCUAAUCCAGUAAGACAGCAGAUUAGGGAAUCGUGGAGUAAAUCAAUUCAAGCCUAAAAUGUUUGCUUUCUCCCUUAGUCCUAAGAAAGCCAGCAGCUUCUGCUGGUGUUAAUAGUAACAAUAAUGAAACUAACAUGAAAAUGUUAUUACAUUUUUAUUCGGUAUGUGCCAAUGUCUAGAGGUCAGAGGAGAACCUGAGGGAGUUGAUUUAUUCCCACCAAGUGCAUGCUACUAUUUGAAUUGUUGUCAGCCUUGGUGGCAGGCACCUGCCCCCAGUGAGCUAUUGCACUGGCCUGAAACCAACAUUUACUAAGUGGUUAACACAUGCUAGACACAUUUUAUUUAAUGAUUCAUCAAUUCAUUUAUCCCUAGACUCACCGUUGAGGACGGCAAUAAUAUUUCCCCCUGUGCAUAUAAAGUAACACAAGUGAAGAAGAUGAGCCCAGGGUUUCAGAAACCAGGACCGGCAAAGUAGUCCUAGGGCUAGGAGCAAGCCACGCACUCAAAAUGUACAGCUUUAACACUAGACAUCAGAGGCACCCAGGAUCUGGACACAGCAGAAAGCGCAGACACAAACUCCAUACCAGGCAGCAUGGGCCUAUAUGAAAAACAGUAAUAGAAAGCAAGAGAUCUGAAGUUCUGUGUUCAUCCAUGAGGAUUCUCACACUCACGUCGCCGAGGGCUCGCUCCAGACAGGAAGCUAGUUUCAUCACGCCGAGGGAGACGGCAGCAGGCUGCGAGCUUUGCAAGGCAUCAAGUAUCUCAAGAAACAACUAUUCAGAGGAAGACACACACUCGAGCUCAGAUUCAGUGAAAGAUGUUUCUCAAAGCAACAAUAAUGUUUAUUCAAUUACUAUUUCCGCACUCAAGCCUCUUAAGAUUUGAAGGUUUAAAACUUUCGGAAUAAAAAGAGUUUAUAUUGGAAAUACUAUAAUAAAGGAAAUUAUCUAACACCUAA